rnacentral:rRNA from 1 species
UACAGAGGUCCCAAGCGUUGUUCGGAUUCAUUGGGCGUAAAGGGUGUGUAAGUGGCGCCGUAAGUCGGGUGUGAAAUCUCGGGGCUUAACUCCGAAACUGCAUUCGAUACUGCGGUGCUUGAGGACUGGAGAGGAGACUGGAAUUCAUGGUGUAGCAGUGAAAUGCGUAGAGAUCAUGAGGAAGACCAGUGGCGAAGGCGGGUCUCUGGACAGUUCCUGACACUGAGACACGAAGGCCAGGGGAGCAAACGGG